GAAGAUGGUCCAAGGAUCUGCGGUCCUGCCAUCCAUGUUGUUGACCCAGAGGGAAUUCCUGGCUUUUAUUUGUAUCAUGUCCCUGACCUGGCUGUUAAGGCCAUUACUGCCUCUCUCUGAGGCUCUGCCACCGGCUGGAUGACUGAACAUCUCCUGGAUGCCCAACCCCUUUCAUGUUGAAACUGCAAGGCAGCAAUCAGGGGAUGAAGGAAGGCACAAGAAAUACAUUUUAAGUGGCCCAACAUACUUACCUGUUGGCAGUUCUGGUUGAUGAUUUCAUAGGAAAUUGAACUGAAACUAUUGAGGAUUAUAAAUUUGUUAUGCAGAAUAAUAUGCAAACACAACAAUUUAUGGCUGGUCAGUAGAAGUUAUGCAGAUAUGUUCAAGUAAAGAAAAUGAAAGAUUGACAUCUCUCAUCUCUUCUCUUGGGAUUUGUAGCAACAAACAUCCUAAACCAAAAUCAAUCAAAAGAACAAACAAGUACAACAGCAGAAGUAAUUUCUUGAUUACUCACCCGAGAGAGAAAUCUGACUUUAACGUCGUCAUAUAAG